AUUGAACGCUAGCGGGAUGCCUUACACAUGCAAGUCGAACGGCAGCACGGACUUCGGUCUGGUGGCGAGUGGCGAACGGGUGAGUAAUGUAUCGGAACGUGCCCAGUAGCGGGGGAUAACUACGCGAAAGCGUAGCUAAUACCGCAUACGCCCUACGGGGGAAAGCAGGGGAUCGCAAGACCUUGCACUAUUGGAGCGGCCGAUAUCGGAUUAGCUAGUUGGUGGGGUAACGGCUCACCAAGGCGACGAUCCGUAGCUGGUUUGAGAGGACGACCAGCCACACUGGGACUGAGACACGGCCCAGACUCCUACGGGAGGCAGCAGUGGGGAAUUUUGGACAAUGGGGGAAACCCUGAUCCAGCCAUCCCGCGUGUGCGAUGAAGGCCUUCGGGUUGUAAAGCACUUUUGGCAGGAAAGAAACGUCGCGGGUUAAUACCCCGCGGAACUGACGGUACCUGCAGAAUAAGCACCGGCUAACUACGUGCCAGCAGCCGCGGUAAUACGUAGGGUGCAAGCGUUAAUCGGAAUUACUGGGCGUAAAGCGUGCGCAGGCGGUCCGGAAAGAAAGAUGUGAAAUCCCAGAGCUUAACUUUGGAACUGCAUUUUUAACUACCGGGCUAGAGUGUGUCAGAGGGAGGUGGAAUUCCGCGUGUAGCAGUGAAAUGCGUAGAUAUGCGGAGGAACACCGAUGGCGAAGGCAGCCUCCUGGGAUAACACUGACGCUCAUGCACGAAAGCGUGGGGAGCAAACAGGA
rnacentral:rRNA from 1 species